UAGGGAAUCUUCCACAAUGGACGCAAGUCUGAUGGAGCAACGCCGCGUGAGUGAAGAAGGUUUUCGGACCGUAAAGCUCUGUUGUUGGUGAAGAAGGAUAGAGGUAGUAACUGGCCUUUAUUUGACGGUAAUCAACCAGAAAGUCACGGCUAACUACGUGCCAGCAGCCGCGGUAAUACGUAGGUGGCAAGCGUUGUCCGGAUUUAUUGGGCGUAAAAGCGAGCGCAGGCGGAAGAAUAAGUCUGAUGUGAAAGCCCUCGGCUUAACCGAGGAAUUGCAUCGGAAACUGUUUUCUUGAGUGCAGAAGAGGAGAGUAGAACUCCAUGUGUAGCGGUGGAAUGCGUAGAUAUAUGGAAGAAUACCAGUGGCGAAGGCGGCUCUCUGGUCUGCAACUGACGCUGAGGCUCGAAAGCAUGGGUAGCGAACAGGAUUAGAUACCCUGGUAGUCCAUGCCGUAAACGAUGAGUGCUAAGUGUUGGGAGGCUUCCGCCUCUCAGUGCUGCAGCUAACGCAUUAAGCACUCCGCCUGGGGGAGUACGA
rnacentral:rRNA from 1 species